rnacentral:ncRNA from 1 species
AAAUACCAGUGAAGAUGCUGGUUACCUGCGCCAGGACGGAAAGACCCCAUGGAGCUUUACUCCAGCUUGAUACUGGGAUUCGGUAUUGUAUGUACAGGAUAGGUGGGAGGCUUAGAAGUGGUUACGCCAGUAGCCAUGGAGCCGCUGUUGGGAUACCACCCUUGCAGUACUGGGUUUCUAACCAGCAGCCGUGACCCGGCUGGGGGACAAUGUCAGGUGGGGAGUUUGACUGGGGCGGUCGCCUCCGAAAGGGUAUCGGAGGCGCUCAAAGGUUCCCUCAGAAUGGUUGGAAACCAUUCGAAGAGUGCAAAGGCAGAAGGGAGCUUGACUGCGACACCGACGGGUGGAGCAGGUACGAAAGUAGGACUUAGUGAUCCGGUGGUAUAAAGUGGGAUUGCCAUCGCUCAACGGAUAAAAGCUACCCUGGGGAUAACAGGCUUAUCACUCCCAAGAGUUCACAUCGACGGAGUGGUUUGGCACCUCGAUGUCGGCUCAUCGCAUCCUGGGGCUGAAGUAGGUCCCAAGGGUUGGGCUGUUCGCCCAUUAAAGCGGUACGCGAGCUGGGUUCAGAACGUCGUGAGACAGUUCGGUCCCUAUCCGGCGUGGGCGUAAGAUAUUUGAGAGGAGCUGUCCUUAGUACGAGAGGACCGGGAUGGACUGGCCGCUGGUGUAUCUGUUGUCUUACCAAAGGCAUAGCAGAGUAGCCAAGCCGGGAAGGGAUAAACGCUGAAGGCAUCUAAGCGUGAAGCCCCCCUCAAGAUGAGAUAUCUCAUAACGUCAAGUUAGUAAGACCCCUUGAAGACGACGAGGUAGAUAGGGCAGAGGUGGAAGUGUGGUAACACAUGGAGCUGACUGUUACUAAUAGGUCGA